ensembl:snRNA U6 U6 spliceosomal RNA
GUGCUUGCUUUGGAAGCACAUAUACUAAAAUUGGAAUGAUACAGAGAUUAGCAUGACCCCUGAUCAAGGAUGACAUGCAAAUUUGUGAAGCGUUCCAUAUAUUU